rnacentral:rRNA from 1 species
AUGAACGCUGGCGGCGUGCUUAACACAUGCAAGUCGAACGGUAACAGAAGGAGCUUGCUCCUUGCUGACGAGUGGCGCACGGGUGAGUAAUAUAUAGGUAAUGUGCCCCUUGGACCGGGAUAGCCACUGGAAACGGUGAUUAAUACUGGAUACUCCUUCUAAACAAAAGUUUAGUCGGGAAAUGGAUUCUGCCAAGGGAUCGGCCUAUAUCCUAUCAGCUAGUUGGUGAGGUAAGAGCUCACCAAGGCGAUGACGGGUAGCGGGUUUGAGAGGAUGAUCCGCCACACUGGUACUGAGACACGGACCAGACUCCUACGGGAGGCAGCAGUGAGGAAUAUUGCACAAUGGGGGCAACCCUGAUGCAGCAACGCCGCGUGGAGGAUGACGCAUUUCGGUGUGUAAACUCCUUUUAUAUGUCAAGAAAAUGACGGUAGCAUAUGAAUAAGCACCGGCUAACUCCGUGCCAGCAGCCGCGGUAAUACGGAGGGUGCAAGCGUUAUUCGGAAUCACUGGGCGUAAAGGACGCGUAGGCGGGUUGGUAAGUCAGGUGUGAAAUCCUACAGCUUAACUGUAGAACUGCACUUGAAACUACCAACCUAGAGUAUGGGAGGGGCAGAUGGAAUUAGUGGUGUAGGGGUAAAAUCCGUAGAUAUCACUAGGAAUACCGAAAGCGAAGGCGAUCUGCUGGAACAUAACUGACGCUAAGGCGUGAAAGCGUGGGGAGCAAACAGGAUUAGAUACCCUGGUAGUCCACGCCCUAAACGAUGAACACUAGUCGUCGGGAUGCUAGUCAUCUCGGUGAUGCACUUAACAGAUUAAGUGUUCCGCCUGGGGAGUACGGUCGCAAGAUUAAAACUCAAAGGAAUAGACGGGGACCCGCACAAGUGGUGGAGCAUGUGGUUUAAUUCGAAGAUACGCGAAGAACCUUACCUAGCCUUGACAUUGAUAGAAUCUUUCAGAGAUGAGAGAGUGCCCUUCGGGGAGCUUGAAAACAGGUGCUGGCACGGCUGUCGUCAGCUC